rnacentral:lncRNA from 1 species
UUUUCUUCUCAACAGAAAUAAAACUACGAAAAUUACAAUGGAUAUCACAAAAAUGUCAAUCACCCUUUUCUUGGUAAUGACAUUGGCAAUUUCAUCCAACUGUGAAGUUCUGGCCGCAUCAAGUAUAAUCAUUCUUCCCAGAAAAUUUCAUUAUUAGUUUUUUUUUUUUAAUCUUUGAACAUUUUGAAAGCAGAACUUAUUAUAUAUGUAUAUAUAUAUAUAUAUGUAUAUGUGAUAGAAUUUGCGAUAACCAUGUAUAUGGAUGUGUAAGAACUUUGAUUUGUCAAAAGAAGUACAACUAUUAUUUGGAUAUGGUAUAUAUGAUUAUAAUCUUAAUUAACCUUGGUUGUGUAAAGGUGAAGUCAGUAAGACAACAAACUAUGGAGAAUGCAUUUAUGAGGAGCUUUGUGAGAUGGGAAAGUCCGGAACUCAUGAAUGCAUCGUUAAGUGUUCUAAGAAGAAUAAGAAGUACACAGGAGGAAAAUGUAUUCCAAAAAAUCCAGAAUAUGGAUAUUGUUGUUGCAC